GGCCCUAUGGUCCAGAGGUACGAUACUUGCUUUGGGUUCAUCUGAACAACUGCAAGUGACCUGGGUUCGAUUCCCGGUGGGGCCC